rnacentral:rRNA from 1 species
CAGUCGAGGGGUAUGCUUCUUCGGAAGCAGAGACCGGCGCACGGGUGCGUAACGCGUAUGCAAUCUACCUUUUACAGAGGGAUAGCCCAGAGAAAUUUGGAUUAAUACCUCAUAGUAUAGCUGAAUCGCAUGAUUCUACUAUUAAAGUCACAACGGUAAAAGAUGAGCAUGCGUCCCAUUAGCUAGUUGGUAAGGUAACGGCUUACCAAGGCUACGAUGGGUAGGGGUCCUGAGAGGGAGAUCCCCCACACUGGUACUGAGACACGGACCAGACUCCUACGGGAGGCAGCAGUGAGGAAUAUUGGACAAUGGGCGCAAGCCUGAUCCAGCCAUGCCGCGUGCAGGAUGACGGUCCUAUGGAUUGUAAACUGCUUUUAUACGAGAAAAAACACUGCUUCGUGAAGCAGCUUGACGGUAUCGUAAGAAUAAGGAUCGGCUAACUCCGUGCCAGCAGCCGCGGUAAUACGGAGGAUCCAAGCGUUAUCCGGAAUCAUUGGGUUUAAAGGGUCCGUAGGCGGUUUAAUAAGUCAGUGGUGAAAGCCCAUCGCUCAACGGUGGAACGGCCAUUGAUACUGUUAAACUUGAAUUAUUAGGAAGUAACUAGAAUAUGUAGUGUAGCGGUGAAAUGCUUAGAGAUUACAUGGAAUACCAAUUGCGAAGGCAGGUUACUACUAAUGGAUUGACGCUGAUGGACGAAAGCGUGGUAGCGAACAGGAUUAGAUACCCUGGUAGUCCACGCC